UGCAGUCAUCUUCUAAACCUGAAGCUAGAGGUGAGAUAAACUACAGAAGCUGUAGAGGACUAUGUCUAGCUGGACAGAGGAAGGGCUUGGAAGCAAAGAAUCAGAGAAGCCUCCAGAGUACUGACUCAUCCAGCUGAAACAUUGUGUCCAGUGACCUAGUAGUCAAAUACAGUGUGGAUCAACUCAGCUCAGAAGAGGGAGCAUCUGUUUAACACAGAAGCAAUUCUCAGCAAGGAACUUCUAUGGACAGUUUCUGAGACAAUGAAAACAUUGAGAUCUACAUUUCCAGGCCAGUACACUCAGGAGGUGUCCUGGGAGAUUUCUCCUUGAAGAAUCAGCCUCAACAGGACUGGAAUGUGGAUUUGCCUGGUCCAGGUCUUCCCUAACUGCACCUAGUUAUGGACCUUCAGGAAGGCAGGUUACUAGCCUCAAAUACCAGCUGCAGCUUAGAAGGGGAAAAAGGAGCAUGACCUACGUCCAUUCUAGCUCUCACACUCUACGAUCUUAUGAAAUAAUUCUUGUAAACUCCUAUGGACCUGUGGACUCAACAACGUGGAAACUUCUUCCAGUGAUACAGAUCUCAACCUAUUCUGAUGGGCUUGCCUAUGUUAUUUCAUGGCAAUCCAUGAAAUAACAUACACUAUAUUCAAGAUAAUGGGCUAUUUAAAUAUGUAUCAUUAUUUUCCUCCUGGAUUUUCCUUGUUAUUUCAGAUUAGGUAUUACUUUCUUUUUUUGGUUAGGAGUUAAAGAAACAAACAAAAUGAAUAGAAAAAAAUUCACAGAAAAAGUAAAAUGUCUGUCAUUAAUGUAAUGUGAUGAUAUAGUACGGUAGAUGGAGCACUGAGCCUGGAGUUAGGAACGCCUAAGUUCAAAUCCAGCCUUAAUUAGUAACUGUGUGACCCUGGGC